rnacentral:rRNA from 1 species
GACGAACGCUGGCGGCGUGCUUAACACAUGCAAGUCGAACGGAAAGGCUCCAGCUUGCUGGAGUACUCGAGUGGCGAACGGGUGAGUAACACGUGGGUAAUCUGCCCUGCACUCUGGGAUAAGCCUGGGAAACUGGGUCUAAUACUGGAUAUGACCUUUCUCCUUAUGGGGUUUGGUGGAAAGUUUUUCGGUGUAGGAUGAGCCCGCGGCCUGUCAGCUUGUUGGUGGGGUGAUGGCCUACCAAGGCGACGACGGGUAGCCGGCCUGAGAGGGUGAUCGGCCACAUUGGGACUGAGAUACGGCCCAGACUCCUACGGGAGGCAGCAGUGGGGAAUAUUGCACAAUGGGCGGAAGCCUGAUGCAGCGACGCCGCGUGAGGGAUGACGGCCUUCGGGUUGUAAACCUCUUUCAGCAGGGACGAAGCGUAAGUGACGGUACCUGCAGAAGAAGCACCGGCUAACUAUGUG